CAAUAGCGUAUAUUAAAGUUGUUGCAGUUAAAAAGCUCGUAGUUGGAUUUCUGGUGGGAGCGGUCGGUCUGGCGCUUAGCGCGAGUACUUGCAUCGUCUCCGGCCAUCCUUGGGGAGAGUCUGUCUGGCAUUAGGUUGUCGGGCAGAGGAUCCUCAUCGUUUACUGUGAAAAAAUUAGAGUGUUCAAAGCAGGCUUAUGCCGUUGAAUAUAUUAGCAUGGAAUAAUAAGAUAGGACUUUGGUACUAUUUUGUUGGUCUGCGCACCAAAGUAAUGAUUAAUAGGGACAGUUGGGGGUAUUCGUAUUCCGUUGUCAGAGGUGAAAUUCUUGGAUUUACGGAAGACGAACUACUGCGAAAGCAUUUACCAAGGAUGUUUUCAUUAA
rnacentral:rRNA from 1 species